UCAGAAUUUGCAUGCAAGAGCAAACAGGGAUUUAAAGUAAGACCGAGGAAUACCUGAAAAUGUUGGGAAUUGUGGACCAAACAUUUAAAAACAAUGGAUAAUUGUGAAAUGAUGCAAGGCAUAACAGGAAAACCUUCAAAAUGGUACUGGCAGCAUCCUGAAAACUACCUUUUGACAAUAAGUGAAGAUUGGAAUGAAGCAAAAGUAAUAUCUGCUUUGGUCCCUGGGUCGUUUUUAAAAAAAAGCAUUUGACACUGCGUUGUAAGGCAUUUACGGAAGGAAGCCAGCCUGGUGGGAAAUGUUGCAUUUUAUUACUCUAAAUCGAGCAGUCAUGGCAAAAGGUAAACAGGAAUGCAUUUAAUGUACUGUGCCAAGGUUUGUUGGUUUUUAAACUGAGGCAUCUGAA